CCUCGGUCGGUUCUGAAAUCGGGACCCCGCUGUGCCAAGCGCGCGCGCGGCCCUGGGGCUGACCUGCCGCAGUGCUCUGCGCUAUGGCACACAGCGCCGAUCUGCCUAAAGGCCCCGGAACCAGAAUGAAAGGAAUCUGCCAUGCUCAUGGAUCUGUAUAAACUUGCUCUGUCGAUUCACGUGGUUAGAACUUUACAGAAGCCACCUUACUCUCCAGGCUUUCACACCAAAUCAGGAAUCCAGCUAUACACUAUAGAAAAAUAAACACCGGACAGACUCUUUGCAAUUGACAGUACAGUGACACAGGCACACUUCAGCUGUCAACAUACCAGUAAUUCUGCAUGAGAAUGUAAAACAUUGCUUUUAGUGGAAAGAAAUUUCCUCUUAUAGUACUGAAGUAUAAUAAAAAGUCAUGAA